GUUGACACGGUAUUGUGACGUAUAGAGGUGAUCAUGUGCGGUUUGCUGGCUUUACGAAUUUCCUUUGACUAGGAAUCCAUAGCGGGUGCAAGACCCGUACGUAUUGCUGGUUUUUCGUACGCGUUUAUCUCUUGGAGUAGGGUUGUUUGAGAUCGCAGCCCUAAGUAGGUGGUAUACUUCAUCUAAAGCUAAAUACGACUACGAAUCCGAUAGCAAACAAGUACCGUGAGGGAAAGUUGCAAAGUACUUUGAAGAGAGAGUUCAAGAGGACGUGAAACCGAUAGGAUGGAAGCAGAUGAAGUUGACGAACGUGUGUCGUAUUCAAAAUCGCUGUCAGCGGUUUGUUUUUACGGCCGAUGUGGGCCGGCGGCUUUGGUCAAUGCAAUGCGUCUAGCGUCGAUGGUGACCCUGCGGAGGGACAAUCAGUCGGCGUACGGUGCUUGGUAUGGCUAAGGUUUCGCCGGUCUUAAAGUCAGCGCCUCAUCUGACCCGUCUUGAAACACGGACCAAGGAGUGUAGCGUUUGCGCAAGUCUUAGAGUGUAUCGAAACUUUGAGGCGUAACGAAAGUAAAUGCAGUUUAAUCUGCUGACUUGGGAUGCGUUGUCUCUUGUGG
rnacentral:rRNA from 1 species